CCUACGGGAGGCAGCAGUGGGGAAUAUUGCACAAUGGGGGAAACCCUGAUGCAGCGACGCCGCGUGAGUGAAGAAGUAUUUCGGUACGUAAAGCUCUAUCAGCAGGGAAGAAAAUGACGGUACCUGACUAAGAAGCCCCGGCUAACUACGUGCCAGCAGCCGCGGUAAUACGUAGGGGGCAAGCGUUAUCCGGAUUUACUGGGUGUAAAGGGAGCGUAGACGGCAGCGCAAGUCUGGAGUGAAAUCCCAUGGCUUAACCAUGGAACUGCUUUGGAAACUGUGCAGCUAGAGUGCAGGAGAGGUAAGCGGAAUUCCUAGUGUAGCGGUGAAAUGCGUAGAUAUUAGGGGGAAAACCAGUGGCGAAGGCGGCUUACUGGACUGUAACUGACGUUGAGGCUCGAAAGCGUGGGGAGCAAACAGGAUUAGAUACCCGGGUAGUC
rnacentral:rRNA from 1 species